CGUAGGGUGCAAGCGUUAAUCGGAAUUACUGGGCGUAAAGCGUGCGCAGGCGGCUUUGCAAGACAGAUGUGAAAUCCCCGGGCUCAACCUGGGAACUGCAUUUGUGACUGCAUGGCUAGAGUACGGUAGAGGGGGAUGGAAUUCCGCGUGUAGCAGUGAAAUGCGUAGAUAUGCGGAGGAACACCGAUGGCGAAGGCAAUCCCCUGGACCUGUACUGACGCUCAUGCACGAAAGCGUGGGAGCAAACAGGAUU
rnacentral:rRNA from 1 species